CAGCUCCCUAGAGAAAGACCAGCUCGUUGAGUUGGUGGUGGUGCCUUUCAGAUUUGCUCAGUUAAACGGAAGGGACUUGGAGUCUGGCUGUGGAGGGUAGCUGAGUGUCUUUUAAGGUUAGCCCUUCUGGCUUUGCCUGGACUUGCCUUGGGGCUUUGGAAUUUUUAGUGGGAUUUCAGCUCAGGGUUUUCUGGCUAUCAGCUUACCUUGUGUAUGUAUGUAUGUAUGUAUAUGUUUAUAUAUAAACUUUUUUUCCUCCAAGACAGGGUUUCUCUGUAUAACAGCCCUAGCUGUGCUGGAACUCACUUUGUAAACCAGAUUGGCUUCGAACUUACAGAGAUCCAGCCAUCCGAGUGCUGGGAUCAAAGGUGUGCACCACCACCGCCCCCUUGUUGUUUUUUUGUUUGUUUGUUUGUUUGUUUGUUUGUUUCGAGACAGGGUUUCUCUGUGUAGCUUUGCGCCUUUCCUGGAACUCACUGGGUAGCCCAGGCUGGCCUCGAACUCACAGAGAUCCACCUGGCUCUGCCUCCCGAGUGCUGAAUUAAAGGAGUGUGCCACCACCGCCUGGCCUGUUUUUACUUUUAUAUUUAAAAAAAUAGCCGGGCGGUGGUGGCACACGCCUUUAAUCCCAGCACUCAGGAGUCAGAAGCAGGCAGAUCUCUGUGAGUUCGAGGCCAGCCUGGUCUACAGAGUGAGUUCCAGGAUAGGCUCCAAAGCUACACAGAGAAACCCUGUCUCGAAGAAAAAAAAUUCAAGGCUCGUUUUUACAGGAAAAUUAUCAAAAGGAACAAAUUACCCAACUACCAGGAUCCCAAUCUCUGUGGUUGUUGUGUGCAGACCUCAUCCGGUCCUUAAAAUGUCCAUCUACCGUCUAAAAAGAUGUGCCUUUUGAAUUCACACACACACACACACACACACACACACACACACACACACACACACACACUCUGCCCCAAGGUCAUCAUGUAUUAUCCCAGCUUCCAAUAUCAGUUUUCCUAUGUUGGAAGAUUCUCAAGGAAUAGUGAGUGGGAUAGAGGCCUUUGGCUGCCUGCGGCAGGAGGCUGUAAGACCGAGGGGUAUUAUGACAUGCUCCAAGGGAAAGACAGUUUUCCCUUUGGCCAACCAAGGCUCCCGCCCAUUGGGGCAAGGGAGCCGGACCGACAUGGAACAGAGGCCUGGGGAGCAGCCCUCAAGGGCCCAGAAGAAGAAAGUUGAGGCUCAGCCGGAGACCCUAAGUCAGACUGUCUCGGGCCGCGGUCGGGUGCUGCUAAUAAGAGAGUUCUUGAAGCAGGAAGAGAGCUACACGACCCUGCAGAACUUUCCGGGUCAGCCUCCGAAGGAUCCGAACGCUGAGCCCACCUGCAGCCAAGCAACAGACUGCCAACGUAGGUCCAGCAGUGCCAGGCGGGGACUCAAGCGUACCGGCGACUGCUUGGCAGACAGCCCCGAAGCCCCGGCCACCAAGUCCAAGUGCCUGGCGGAGAAGUCGGAGAGGGCGGAGAAGCCGGAGAAGCUGGAGAAGCAGCAACUCUCGGAUCUCAAGGAAAAGGACUUGCCCGAUUGCGAGGCGCCUCGAGCUCUACCCGAGGCCCCCAGCUCGGAGACGGCAGAGAUCGCCGAACUAGGCUCGGAGCCUGGCAAGCAGCUGCUCCUGGUGCUGUGCCACGCGUCCGCGCUGGGCACGCAGCUGCCUCGGUUGCAGCUGCUCCUGCAGCAGGUGCGCAUCCAGGACCGCCGCCCGCCAGCCGCGCUCGUCGGAAUCCUGGUGCAUCCGCGGCCGGAUGAGGAGGCAGAGUCGCGCCGCCGUCUGGAGGAACUGCUCUGCAGCGUCUUCGCUUCAGAGAACCCAGGGGUCGAGGUGCACACAGCAGUGUUCUGUCCCAGCCGCUCCCAGGGUGUCCUGGAUGUCCAGCGCGCUGCCAGUCAAGCGCACAUGGACACCCUAGUGGAUCGCCAGACCCAGACGGAUGAAAACCUUCAAGGAAACACUGUACUCCCCGUAACUCACGUACUUCAAGCUCUCGGAACUGUUGCUGUGGCUCUGGGGGCCCUGGGAGCUGCCUACUUCAUCGCUGAAUCCUUCUGAACUGGACCCCAGGCCAACAGUCCGGCAGUGUCCUCCAGCCUGUUCCACGUGGUUCUUUGGAAUGUGUGUGAUCUCUCCCACUCCUUACUUAUAACGCACCAUCUCUGCAUGUGAGGAUGUCUUCAGUCACCUCUUUCACCUGAGCCCCCUUGAGCCCCAGAAGCAGAGCCAGAAACAAGGAUUGGGUGCACCUGAUGCCUUGAGGAAGUACUCUCAGGAGAAAAGCCGGGAUCCAGUUUCCAUCCAAGGAUCUCACUUGUCACCAAAAUAGAGAGAGAAAAGUAUCUUGUCUCUUUUCUUCAUUUUAUGUUAUUUAAUUUAUUUAUGUAUUUAGUUUUUCGAGACAGGAUUUCUGUGUAGUUUUGGUGCCUGUCCUGGAUCUCGCUCUAUAGACCAGGCUGGCCUCGAACUCACAGAGAUCCGCCUGGCUCUGCCUCCCAAAUGCUGGGAUUAAAGGCAUGCACCACCGCCACCACCACCACCGCCCGGCUUAUUUUUUUAUUUUUGAGACAAGGACUUCUAUGUAGCCCACAUUAGCCUUAAACUCAAUAUCCUCCUACCUCCUGCAGAAUGCUAGGGUUACAGGCGUGUGCUGCCUGCCACACCCAGCUAGAAAUCUGUCUUCAGUGUCUUUUGCUCAGAAAUAUGGAAGUUGGAUCCAGCACACUGUCAGGGAGGUAAGUGCCUUUAAGAUGUUUAAAGCUGGAGUAGGAACCCACUAUUCCUGGUCUUGGCCUCUCUGCACACACUGCACACAUUCAACAAGACAAUGUGUUUUCACUUUUCUCACUCUAAAAGCAAGAAUUGCAAGGCUCAAGUCAAUGCCUGAUUUAACUAGUCAGCCUCACCUCAGGCCAGUUAGUAGGGGCAGGAGGAAUAAGCUAACACAAAGCCUACGUUAUGGGAGGCAAGAGCCCUAAACCCAGCAGGGCUGUCUCUGGGAAAUAGUCCCUUUUGUGAUGGGGUCCUGACCUGCUUACACCCUGUAGCUGCUUCUGGCCAAUGCUGGGUGAGCUUUUUCUUCUCUUAGGUAAAAUCUUAGUCAACAGAAAUCCCAGCAAAUGCUCCUGGAAAAGGCAGAUAUUACAAGGAAAGGAGAUGGACAGCACUGGUUACAGUGGCCUCUGCAGGCAGCUGGAGUCAGACUUUGCUGGUGCCACCCUGGAAGAUGGCACUACACACCAUAAGAAUAAUCCCACCCAAGAGAAAACUAAGCAGUGAACAGCCACUCCUGUCCUCCAUUGAUGGAGGCCUACUAGGAGGGAGAUGGCUGUACUUCUGUCCUCCUCUGGAGAGGAAACCUGUAGACAGAGAAGAGUAGAUGUCAGAGAAAGCUGUGCCCUGUAGAUGUAACCAACCAUCUUAUUAAAUAAGAAAUACAGAGCCGAUUCAGAGAAGAAAGCCAAGAGGUCAGAACUAAGAGCCUUACCCUUCCUGCUUCAGCCAAGAGAACUCUCCAAAAAGGACCUACUUCCUGUGUGUAUGUCUUUAUAUAGUCUAGCUGUUCUGCCUUCUCAUUGGUUGUAAACCCAAACACAUGACUGCCUCGUCAUUGCCUGUCUGUAGAGACUUCCAGGUCUUCUAUGGUUGGUAUUGAGAUUAAAGGUGUGUGUCUCCAAUGCUGGCUGUAUCUUUUUACACACAGAGAUCUACCUAGCUCUGUCUACCAAGUGCUGGGAUUAAAGGCAUGCGCCACCACCGCCACGCUCUUGCUAUGGCUCUAAUAGCUCUGACCCCUGGGCAACUUUAUUUAUUAACAUACAAUUAAAAUCACAUUUCAGUACAAAUAAAAUACCACCAUAGUGCCCAAAUAUUGUGGGGCAGGUAAAGGUGGGCUAAGAAGUUGCUGUUUCUCUAAGAGUUGGCCAAGGGGGAAUCUAGCCGGACUGCCCCUGAUGAGGCAGGGGACUGAUCUUCCUGUAGCAAUAGACAGAAUUGGAUGGGAUAGGCCAGGCUGGUUAGUUACUGGGAUCCCCAGAACUCUAGAAUCUUUGUUUAAGGUGAUCUCAGCAAACACCACUAGCUGAAGGAAAUGUCCAGGGAACAGAGGUAGCCAGCCCUGGGAUUCCCUCCCUGAGCCUAUAAAACUUUCUCUGAAAAGUCAGGCUCUUGAAGAAUGCAUAACAAGAGACACAGAGGGUUGUGCUUCUGCCCUGUGUGGCAGUUUGAGAUGAAAAAGCCCACAGAUAUCAGAAACCUACUGACCCUGCUUCGGCAAGGCCUGACUCCUAUGACCGAAGAUGAACUCCUCUCCCUGGUGUAUUCAUUAGACCCCCUUUGUUGUAAAUCACUUGGCAAAACCUUGACCCUGGUUAAACACAGCCCUCUGCCCUGCACAUAGGCUGUGCAGGCUUAUGCAGACACACUUGGAGCUGCUCACCCACACAAGCCAGACUCACAUUAGUUGCUCUCUCGCUCUGUUCAUUUUCUCAAUCUCCCUUAGUGCCUCAUGUAUCCCAGGCUGGCCAUGUCUCCCAGGAUGGUCUCAUGUAUCCCAAAUUCCCUAUGUAGGAGGAGAACAAAUUCCCUGAGAAGACCUUGAACUGAUCCUCCUGCCUCCACAUCACAGGUGCUAGAAUUACAGGAAUACACCGCCAUGCACAGUUUAUACUGUACUAGGGAUCAAACCCAGGGCCAUGAGCAUUCUAGACAAUCACUUCAGCAACUGAGAUGCAUCUCUAGCCCCAGACUUACUUUAAAUACCUGAUCACAGACUCCAGGUGGGACUGUGAGGGGCUAGGGCUCAAGUCACCCUAUAUUCCCCAUGCAUUUAUCUGUUGUCCUUAAACCUCCUCCACCUCCUUCCCCCUAUCACUAAGACUCUGCCCACAGUACCUCUCUAGUAACUACCCAUUACCCUGUCCCUGAGGCACUGACUGAUGGGACCAUGCUGACCACAUACGUGUUCUAGGAACCAAAGUAAAUGGACUCAACCAUCA